GUUAGCGUAGGGUGGGGAGGCUGAUUUCAGUAUCGCGCUACAGCAGCAGGCUAAAGUCAGUGAGCAGCUCUACCUCGGAGAAGCGGAAGUCCCAUCUGUUACGAAUCUGCGGGAGUUCAGAGAGGCGGGACUGUGCAGGUGUGUGAUGUCGGGCAGUGAAACAUGGAAGAUUUAAAAGGAACACAGCCUUAUACAGCUGGCAGCGUCGUCGGCGGGCUGCAGAGUGAAGGCCUAAAGGCUUUGGCGAAACGGGCGAGGUGAAGUAGAGUGAAGAAGUUCCUCCUUCAAGUUGGAAUUGCUCUCAGAACUGGCAUGGACACGACAGUUUGAUAUGGCCUCUUGUGUCAUAAUAAGUCAGUCAAGUCCAGAUCCAUUACUCCCAGUUGAAGGAAGGUCAGUGAGCCCUGGUGGGCAGAGGAAAAGUUCCAAAGAUUAUAUCAAGAUCAUCCUGAAGAAAUUCAACAUUACAUCUAAAAACUGAAGACACUCCACUCAAUAGCUUGACCUGGAGGAAAUCUGUUCAAGAGGGAGCUAUGCUCCAUGAGAAUGACCCCCGCUGUGCCACAGAGAACAAGCAACAGCUGCAAAAGGAGAGCCUGAAUAAUCACUAACCAAAACCACCACUUAUUCUUGUCCGCACUACCCCAAAAUCUGUGGAUCCUAAGCCAGCUGAGGACCCACCAAUAGACAACCCCUUAGGAGAUCCUCAUACUCAACUCAAUUGAUCAGACGACUACCACUACUAUUUCAUUCUAUGUUUCAGUGUGCAUGUGAUAAAUAAAUGAAGGUGGCCUCUCUGGGUCCAAUCAAAGGUGUAAUUGUUCAAGGAAAUGUGCGGUCCACAAACUGUGCGAGUGAUUGUUUUUGGGUGUUUUUCUUCAGAUCACAAGACCCUGUUGGACAUUGGUAAUGUAAAAUACUGCAAGUCCUGUUCGCUGGUUCAUUGAUGAGACCGAUGGUGGGGAAGCUGCAUGGCCUCAGUUGUUGCAUGGUCCAGGCCUUCAUUCAUACUGCCUGUUGCCUGUUGCAGCCACCCAGGGUAGGAGACACCACAGACAGUGUGGCACAGCAGGCAUCCGUUCUGGCUCGUUCCAUUGCUGCUGCUCUCCAGUGUUCACUCAGUGGAAGACAUUCUGGAUUGUGUUCGUCUGCGGUGGAACUGCUGCGUGCUUGUUCUUGCGGAAACAUGGCUCCAGGACAACAUCUGUGCACCAUCAAUCUGGCUAUGACACUCAGGAACUUGGGCUAUGUUUUUUACUGCUAUCAUAAUUAUAUAUGCUACAUGUGCUGUGUGUGACAGUUGGUACUGUGUGUGGUACAUUGGUCCCAGAGGAAUGCUGUUUUGUUUGGCUGUAUUCAUGAGUACAGUUGAGUGAAUUAAAUUUGAACUUCAACUUGAACUUGAAAUAAUUCUAGAGAUGAAUUUGCCUAUAUUAUGCUCGUGUAUCUCC